rnacentral:rRNA from 1 species
GUGAGGAAUAUUGGUCAAUGGGCGGGAGCCUGAACCAGCCAAGUCGCGUGAAGGAAGAAGGAUCUAUGGUUCGUAAACUUCUUUUGCAGGGGAAUAAAGUGCGGGACGUGUCCUGUUUUGUAUGUACCCUGAGAAUAAGGAUCGGCUAACUCCGUGCCAGCAGCCGCGGUAAUACGGAGGAUCCGAGCGUUAUCCGGAUUUAUUGGGUUUAAAGGGUGCGUAGGUGGAUUGAUAAGUCAGCGGUGAAAGUUUGCAGCUUAACUGUAAAAAUGCCGUUGAAACUGUCGGACUUGAGUGUAAAUGAGGUAGGCGGAAUGCGUGGUGUAGCGGUGAAAUGCAUAGAUAUCACGCAGAACUCCGAUUGCGAAGGCAGCUUACUAAGCUACAACUGACACUGAAGCACGAAAGCGUGGGGAUCAAACAGGAUUAGAUACCCGAGUAGUCC